rnacentral:rRNA from 1 species
AUGAACGCUGGCGGCGUGCCUAAUACAUGCAAGUCGAGCGAACAGAUAAGGAGCUUGCUCCUUUGACGUUAGCGGCGGACGGGUGAGUAACACGUGGAUAACCUACCUAUAAGACUGGGAUAACUUCGGGAAACCGGAGCUAAUACCGGAUAACAUAUUGAACCGCAUGGUUCAAUAGUGAAAGGCGGCUUUGCUGUCACUUAUAGAUGGAUCCGCGCCGUAUUAGCUAGUUGGUAAGGUAACGGCUUACCAAGGCAACGAUACGUAGCCGACCUGAGAGGGUGAUCGGCCACACUGGAACUGAGACACGGUCCAGACUCCUACGGGAGGCAGCAGUAGGGAAUCUUCCGCAAUGGGCGAAAGCCUGACGGAGCAACGCCGCGUGAGUGAUGAAGGUCUUCGGAUCGUAAAACUCUGUUAUCAGGGAAGAACAAAUGUGUAAGUAACUGUGCACAUCUUGACGGUACCUGAUCAGAAAGCCACGGCUAACUA